rnacentral:tRNA from 2 species
AGGGGCGUAGCUCAGUUGGUAGAGCGGCGGUCUCCAAAACCGUAGGUCGCAGGUUCGAGCCCUGUCGCCCCUG